UAGCCCAAUUGGCGCUCGAUCAAAACCCCCCAAAAUUUCAUCCCAAAAAUCCCUAACACCAUUCUCCCUCACAAUCACAGAGAUUUCGAGUUCCCAAUCACAGAGACGAGGACGAGUUCGGGUUCACUGACGAUCACAGAUAUUUCGAGUUCCCAAUCACAGAGAUUUCGAGUGUUCACCGACGAUCUCUCUCUCGACGAGCGACGACGGCUAGUAGUCUCAAUCGCUCUCGACGACGGCUAGCGGUGGUGCGGCGACGGCGUAUUACGAUCCCUCUCUCUCUCUCUCUCUCACACACACACACACACACUGAUGACGGUGUGGCAGAAAAGUAGGGCGAGAGAAAAAAAGGGGUUUAUUAUGAAUAUUCAGUGAUCAGCCUUUUGAUGAUUCUCAGCUGGAAAGUGCUCAGCAACAGCCAUCUGGAAGGGAACAUCAACCUGCAUCUGGAGGUGAACAGCUUCAGGAGCCCCCCGCAGAAGUUCCUCAACAGGAGGAUGUUCCUUCUGCAGAACAGCAACCUGCAUUUGAGACUCAAACUGUGUCACGGAAAAUGGAAAUCCCUAAUAAUAGGUUGGAGUUCUCAUUGGCAAGGCUGGUGAUACUAUAUGGUUUCUACAAAUCAAUUCAGGUGCCAAGAUUCAGAUCACAAGGGAUGCUGAUGCUGAUCCAUAUUCUGCCACCCGGCCUGUGGAGCUAAUAGGAACUUUGGAAAAUAUAAACAUGGCUGAGAAACUGAUAAAGGAUGUUAUAGCUGAGGCUGAUGCGGGGGGGUUCCCCCUCCCUUGUGGCUAGGGGUUUCGGUAUGGUGCAGGCUGCUGGCACUGUGGAACAAGUUCUCAUACAAGUUCCAAAUCAGAAGGUUGGUGUAAUCAUAGGUAAAGGUGGGGAGACUAUUAAAAAUCUACAGACGAGAUCAGGGGCAUGCAUUCAGGUAGUUGAUAUCAUAUGGCCCUGCUUUGAAAUGUAUGUGAAAAUAAGUACAAGAAUUCUCAACAGAGGUAAUGACCGUCCUUCAUAAAAGUGAUACCAUUUCACAAAUACUGACAAUGUUAUUUUGUUUAGUUGAUACCACAACAUCUUCCUGAUGGGGACCAAUCUAAAGAAAGGACAGUGCGCGUGGCUAGUGAUAAGAAGCAGAUUGAGAUGGCAAGAGAAAUGAUAAAGGAAGUUAUGAAUCAGGGUUCAUUGCUUUGAUUGCAACUUUGGCUAGCCGAGAUGUGAUCCUAGGAGAAAGUUCAUCUGUAGUUGAUUCAAAGGACCAAGAUGUUGAUGGACAUGUUUUAGUACAAUAUUAUGGGAUACAUGAGAGUGCAUGGGUUGAUCCAGCUAGAGACCUUUCACAGUUUGAUGAUAUAUUUCCAGUUUGUUUCUUGUGGAAUGUAAGCGUGUGAAGAUUGCGAUUAACUUUUGUUUUUGUUACCCACGGAAGAAUCAUGAGGGAAACUUUUGUUUUUGAUUUAUGUUAUUUUGAAUUGUGAACAACAUUAUGUAUUUAAACAUUGUAUAUGUAUUAUGCAAUAUUAUGU